ensembl:snRNA U6 U6 spliceosomal RNA
GUGCUCGCUUCAGCAGCACAUGUAUUUAAAACUGGAACGAUACAGAGAAGAUUAGCAUGGCCCCUGUGCAUGGAUGACACACAAAUUCAUGAAGCGUUCCAUAUUUUU